GAGCCAACGGCCUCUGAGCACAGGCCAACAGCGCCCUCUGGUGUGCAUCCUGGGAAUGCAGCUGGCUUCGUGAGCCCUCUCCCUCUUGGUCUGACGGAUAGGUCAAGGACCAGCUUCUGAGCUUCCCUUGAAGACCCAUACCUGCCCCCAUGGCAGAUCAGAUGAAUCCAGCCCAGUCCCCAAGCCGUGUGACCCAGGCCUGGCCAAUCCACACGUUCCAUCCACCUGUGUGCAGUGAUGGUGCAGGGAUGGACACAUGACCCAGCUGGACCCUAAGGACUCCAUUUUGGAACCCUCGUUUGCACCGAUGAGGAAGAGCCUCCUGGGAAGAGGGGAUGGAAGUCCAGCACUUUUGCUGCCAUCUUACCGGAGCAGAGAUCCAAGAUAGGAAACCAUUGCUGAGAGAUGGAAAGAGGCUGAGCCAGAAUGGCAUUGCAUCAGCCCCUGGAUCCAGCCAGGCCUGAAGCUGGACAGCCCUGGACAUUUCAUCUGCAUGAGCCCAUCCUUUCUGUGUUUAAGCUGGCUUGACUUGGCUUUGUAUCACUUGCCACUCCAAGAAUCCUGCCUAAUGUGGUAAGUAAAAAAAAUUAAGCAAAA